UACGAAGGGGGCUAGCGUUGCUCGGAAUCACUGGGCGUAAAGCGCACGUAGGCGGAUUGUUAAGUCAGGGGUGAAAUCCUGGAGCUCAACUCCAGAACUGCCUUUGAUACUGGCGAUCUUGAGUCCGGGAGAGGUGAGUGGAACUCCGAGUGUAGAGGUGAAAUUCGUAGAUAUUCGGAAGAACACCAGUGGCGAAGGCGGCUCACUGGCCCGGUACUGACGCUGAUGUGCGAAAGCGUGGGGGGCAAACAGG
rnacentral:rRNA from 1 species